GCGCUCUGCGCCCUGGGUCGCCUAGGGAAGAGAUACGGAACGUUGCGCACGUUCGAGGCCCCUGUGUUGCGUACCCUGUUCUCUGAGCCCUGGGAUCUGGGCGGACUGGCCGCCCACUCUGCGGGGAAAUCGGGAAAACUUGGGGAAAUCAAGCCUGAUGGUGAAUUCUCUGCAUCAGUACAUUAUACCAUCAUUAACCCAGGUGAUCAAGCCAAACACCCAGAAGCAAAGCCCAAACUUGAACAAGGACACCAAACCAAGGGGGUGGAGUUACAGAGACGGUGGCAAAGAAGGAGAAAUCUAAACAAUUGCCACACUGAAACUAGACUGGUGUUCUUAAAGUAAUCCUCACUGGUAGAAGACAAACUGUCAUCCCGCCGGCCCUCCUCGGUUUGGAAAGGAAUGCCUGGUGAAAAGCCUCCUGGAGUCUUGGGAGAACUGAACACUGAACAUGAACCCUCACUAUUUGAUGAGAAAUGGGAUGGACCUUCAACAGUUACUGACAAAAGGUCCAACUCUGUCUCCUCUGGAAACUGUUAAAAAAAAAAAAGAAAGAAAGAAAACACAAAUCAGAUGGAGUGGUAAAGAAGCCUUGGGAAGUUUAUGAAUCUUAAGUGCAUAAAUUACACAUGACUAAAAUAAUAAGCAAAGACUUUGCAGAUCAAUAUUGAAGACUUUCUAAAAAAAAAAAGCUACUGAACAAUGAUGAUUUAGAAAGUAAACAAGAAGAAUUACUAACAAUAUAAACUCCUGGAAUGUUACACUGCCAAGACAAUUCAUAUCAUUAACGUGAAACUGGGAAUGAAAUCCAGAUUUGCCUGAUUUUACAAGAUUUAUGACAACUAUUAUGAAGUCUACUGUUGAUUUUAGUACUGUUGAUUGUAAUGCUACUGCAAUUAUCACUAUCACUAUUACUUCCAUUAUAAAUAAAAACACCAACA